UACGGAGGGGGCUAGCGUUGUUCGGAAUUACUGGGCGUAAAGCGCACGUAGGCGGCUUUGUAAGUUAGAGGUGAAAGCCCGGAGCUCAACUCCGGAAUUGCCUUUAAGACUGCAUCGCUAGAAUUGUGGAGAGGUGAGUGGAAUUCCGAGUGUAGAGGUGAAAUUCGUAGAUAUUCGGAAGAACACCAGCGGCGAAGGCGACUCACUGGACACAUAUUGACGCUGAGGUGCGAAAGCGUGGGGAGCAAACAGG
rnacentral:rRNA from 1 species